rnacentral:rRNA from 1 species
UCCAGACUCCUACGGGAGGCAGCAGUGAGGAAUAUUGGUCAAUGGUCGGGAGACUGAACCAGCCAAGCCGCGUGAGGGAGGAAGGUACAGAGUAUCGUAAACCUCUUUUGUCAGGGAACAAAGACUGGGACGCGUCCCCGGAUGAGUGUACCUGAAGAAAAAGCAUCGGCUAACUCCGUGCCAGCAGCCGCGGUAAUACGGAGGAUGCGAGCGUUAUCCGGACUUAUUGGGUUUAAAGGGUGCGUAGGCUGUGAGGUAAGUCAGCGGUGAAAUGCCCCCGCUCAACGGGGUGAAGUGCCAUUGAUACUGCCUUGCUGGAAUGCGGAUGCCGUGGGAGGAAUGUGUGGUGUAGCGGUGAAAUGCAUAGAUAUCACGCAGAACUCCGAUUGCGAAGGCAGCAUACCGGCGCCCUACUGACGCUGAGGCACGAAAGCGUGGGUAUCGAACAGGAUUAGAUACCCCAGUA